UUAUACCAACUAAUUCCAGACCAAUGCAAAUUACUCAUGUGGGAUUCCUUUAAUACUUACCAUUUCCCCUCGAGUCCUUUGGAAGUUUAGAACGGCAAAGAGGGCAAGCCCGACUUUGACAGGGUAUAUCAUUUCGUAAAUAUUGCUCACGAACAACUUUUUGAACCUUCCCCCUGGUUGCACGAACAAAUACUCUAUCUCUGUGAUUCUUCUCGGAGCUUUGAGGCCUCUUCAAUCCUGAAACAGUGCUCAUCCUGUAAAUCUUCAGAACACUGAAGAUUGCUUUACUAGAAAAGUUUUAGACCCUGGAAAAGCUACUAUCACUUACGGCAUUCACAACACAACACUACACGUUAUUAUUUUAACGCAGGAUAAAAACUUCUCAUAUUUCACACACCGAGAACAGACUGGGUCUCGUAAUAUUUGUAAAUAGAGCAAAAUUGCAGACAAAACUGAGUAUUUGAAGGUUUUUUCUUUAAAACAAAACGCAGUUAUUUAAAUUUCAUUAAAGAUUAAGAAAAAAUAUACCUUUUAAGGUUAAUUUUUUGGUUUCCAGUCCACUACUUAAUCUAACGUACAAGUUAUAAAUAUGUUUGUAAUAU